AUUGAACGCUGGCGGCAGGCUUAACACAUGCAAGUCGAGCGGGGAAGGGUAGCUUGCUACCUGACCUAGCGGCGGACGGGUGAGUAAUGCUUAGGAAUCUGCCUAUUAGUGGGGGACAACAUUCCGAAAGGAAUGCUAAUACCGCAUACGCCCUACGGGGGAAAGCAGGGGAUCUUCGGACCUUGCGCUAAUAGAUGAGCCUAAGUCAGAUUAGCUAGUUGGUGGGGUAAAGGCCUACCAAGGCGACGAUCUGUAGCGGGUCUGAGAGGAUGAUCCGCCACACUGGGACUGAGACACGGCCCAGACUCCUACGGGAGGCAGCAGUGGGGAAUAUUGGACAAUGGGCGAAAGCCUGAUCCAGCCAUGCCGCGUGUGUGAAGAAGGCCUUUUGGUUGUAAAGCACUUUAAGCGAGGAGGAGGCUACCGAGAUUAAUACUCUUGGAUAGUGGACGUACUC
rnacentral:rRNA from 1 species